rnacentral:Y_RNA from 1 species
AGCUGGUCCAGUGGUGUUGAGUUAUCAGAACUUGUUAACAUUAGUGUCACUAAACUUGAUAUGCAACUCCCUACUGCUAAAGUUAACUGGCUUAAA